rnacentral:rRNA from 1 species
UACGUAGGGUGCAAGCGUUGUCCGGAAUUAUUGGGCGUAAAGAGCUCGUAGGCGGUCUGUUGCGUCGGCUGUGAAAACCCGGGGCUCAACCCCGGGCCUGCAGCCGAUACGGGCAGACUAGAGUUCGGCAGGGGAGACUGGAAUUCCUGGUGUAGCGGUGAAAUGCGCAGAUAUCAGGAGGAACACCGGUGGCGAAGGCGGGUCUCUGGGACGGUACUGACGCUGAGGCGCGAAAGCGUGGGGAGCGAACAGG